rnacentral:rRNA from 1 species
ACUCCUACGGGAGGCAGCAGUGAGGAAUAUUGGUCAAUGGUCUGACGACUGAACCAGCCAUGCCGCGUGAAGGUCACGGCCCUAUGGGUCUUAAACUUCUUUUGUAAGGGAGCAAUAAGUCUCACGUGUGGGAUGAUGAGA